rnacentral:rRNA from 1 species
GGGUUGUGAGGUUAAGCGACUAAGCGUACACGGUGGAUGCCCUGGCAGUCAGAGGCGAUGAAGGGCGUGCUAAUCUGCGAUAAGCGCCGGUAAGGUGAUAUGAACCGUUAUAACCGGCGAUACCCGAAUGGGGAAACCCAGUGUGACUCGUCACACUAUCAUUAACUGAAUCCAUAGGUUAAUGAGGCGAACCGGGGGAACUGAAACAUCUAAGUACCCCGAGGAAAAGAAAUCAACCGAGAUUCCCCCAGUAGCGGCGAGCGAACGGGGAGGAGCCCAGAGCCUGAAUCAGCAUGUGUGUUAGUGGAAGCGUCUGGAAAGGCGCGCGAUACAGGGUGACAGCCCCGUACACAAAAGCGCAUGUGCUGUGAGCUCGAUGAGUAGGGCGGGACACGUGGUAUCCUGUCUGAAUAUGGGGGGACCAUCCUCCAAGGCUAAAUACUCCUGACUGACCGAUAGUGAACCAGUACCGUGAGGGAAAGGCGAAAAGAACCCCGGCGAGGGGAGUGAAAAAGAACCUGAAACCGUGUACGUACAAGCAGUGGGAGCACAGGUUUACCUGUGUGACUGCGUACCUUUUGUAUAAUGGGUCAGCGACUUAUAUUCUGUAGCAAGGUUAACCGAAUAGGGGAGCCGGAGGGAAACCGAGUCUUAAUUGGGCGUUAAGUUGCAGGGUAUAGACCCGAAACCCGGUGAUCUAGCCAUGGGCAGGUUGAAGGUUGGGUAACACUAACUGGAGGACCGAACCGACUAAUGUUGAAAAAUUAGCGGAUGACCUGUGGCUGGGGGUGAAAGGCCAAUCAAACCGGGAGAUAGCUGGUUCUCCCCGAAAGCUAUUUAGGUAGCGCCUCGUGAAUUCAUCUCCGGGGGUAGAGCACUGUUUCGGCUAGGGGGCCAUCCCGGCUUACCAACCCGAUGCAAACUGCGAAUACCGGAGAAUGUUAUCACGGGAGACACACGGCGGGUGCUAACGUCCGUCGUGAAGAGGGAAACAACCCAGACCGCCAGCUAAGGUCCCAAAGUCAUGGUUAAGUGGGAAACGAUGUGGGAAGGCCCAGACAGCCAGGAUGUUGGCUUAGAAGCAGCCAUCAUUUAAAGAAAGCGUAAUAGCUCACUGGUCGAGUCGGCCUGCGCGGAAGAUGUAACGGGGCUAAACCAUGCACCGAAGCUGCGGCAGCGACGCUUAUGCGUUGUUGGGUAGGGGAGCGUUCUGUAAGCCUGCGAAGGUGGCCUGUGAGGGUUGCUGGAGGUAUCAGAAGUGCGAAUGCUGACAUAAGUAACGAUAAAGCGGGUGAAAAGCCCGCUCGCCGGAAGACCAAGGGUUCCUGUCCAACGUUAAUCGGGGCAGGGUGAGUCGACCCCUAAGGCGAGGCCGAAAGGCGUAGUCGAUGGGAAACGGGUUAAUAUUCCCGUACUUGGUGUUACUGCGAAGGGGGGACGGAGAAGGCUAUGUUGGCCGGGCGACGGUUGUCCCGGUUUAAGCGUGUAGGUGUGUGUUCCAGGUAAAUCCGGUUCACUUUAACACUGAGGCGUGACGACGAGGCACUACGGUGCUGAAGCAACAAAUGCCCUGCUUCCAGGAAAAGCCUCUAAGCAUCAGGUAACAUCAAAUCGUACCCCAAACCGACACAGGUGGUCAGGUAGAGAAUACCAAGGCGCUUGAGAGAACUCGGGUGAAGGAACUAGGCAAAAUGGUGCCGUAACUUCGGGAGAAGGCACGCUGACACGUAGGUGAAGUGAUUUACUCAUGGAGCUGAAGUCAGUCGAAGAUACCAGCUGGCUGCAACUGUUUAUUAAAAACACAGCACUGUGCAAACACGAAAGUGGACGUAUACGGUGUGACGCCUGCCCGGUGCCGGAAGGUUAAUUGAUGGGGUCAGCGCAAGCGAAGCUCCUGAUCGAAGCCCCGGUAAACGGCGGCCGUAACUAUAACGGUCCUAAGGUAGCGAAAUUCCUUGUCGGGUAAGUUCCGACCUGCACGAAUGGCGUAAUGAUGGCCAGGCUGUCUCCACCCGAGACUCAGUGAAAUUGAACUCGCUGUGAAGAUGCAGUGUACCCGCGGCAAGACGGAAAGACCCCGUGAACCUUUACUAUAGCUUGACACUGAACAUUGAGCCUUGAUGUGUAGGAUAGGUGGGAGGCUUUGAAGUGUGGACGCCAGUCUGCAUGGAGCCGACCUUGAAAUACCACCCUUUAAUGUUUGAUGUUCUAACGUGGACCCGUUACCCGGGUUGCGGACAGUGUCUGGUGGGUAGUUUGACUGGGGCGGUCUCCUCCUAAAGAGUAACGGAGGAGCACGAAGGUUGGCUAAUCCUGGUCGGACAUCAGGAGGUUAGUGCAAUGGCAUAAGCCAGCUUGACUGCGAGCGUGACGGCGCGAGCAGGUGCGAAAGCAGGUCAUAGUGAUCCGGUGGUUCUGAAUGGAAGGGCCAUCGCUCAACGGAUAAAAGGUACUCCGGGGAUAACAGGCUGAUACCGCCCAAGAGUUCAUAUCGACGGCGGUGUUUGGCACCUCGAUGUCGGCUCAUCACAUCCUGGGGCUGAAGUAGGUCCCAAGGGUAUGGCUGUUCGCCAUUUAAAGUGGUACGCGAGCUGGGUUUAGAACGUCGUGAGACAGUUCGGUCCCUAUCUGCCGUGGGCGCUGGAGAACUGAGGGGGGCUGCUCCUAGUACGAGAGGACCGGAGUGGACGCAUCACUGGUGUUCGGGUUGUCAUGCCAAUGGCACUGCCCGGUAGCUAAAUGCGGAAGAGAUAAGUGCUGAAAGCAUCUAAGCACGAAACUUGCCCCGAGAUGAGUUCUCCCUGAGACUUAAAGUCUCCUGAAGGAACGUUGAAGACGACGACGUUGAUAGGCCGGGUGUGUAAGCGCAGCGAUGCGUUGAGCUAACCGGUACUAAUGAACCGUGAGGCUUAACCUUACAACGCCGAAG